rnacentral:rRNA from 1 species
GACGAACGCUGGCGGCGUGCUUAACACAUGCAAGUCGAACGGAAAGGCCCUGCUUUUGUGGGGUGCUCGAGUGGCGAACGGGGGAGUAACACGUGAGUAACCUGCCCUUGACUUUGGGGUAACUUCAGGAAACUGGGGCUAAUACCGGAUAGGAGCUCCUGCUGCAUGGUGGGGGUUGGAAAGUUUCGGCGGUUGGGGAUGGACUCGCGGCUUAUCAGCUUGUUGGUGGGGUAGUGGCUUACCAAGGCUUUGACGGGUAGCCGGCCUGAGAGGGUGACCGGCCACAUUGGGACUGAGAUACGGCCCAGACUCCUACGGGAGGCAGCAGUGGGGAAUAUUGCACAAUGGGCGGAAGCCUGAUGCAGCAACGCCGCGUGCGGGAUGACGGCCUUCGGGUUGUAAACCGCUUUCGCCUGUGACGAAGCGUGAGUGACGGUAAUGGGUAAAGAAGCACCGGCUAACUACGUG